rnacentral:rRNA from 1 species
UACAGAGGGUGCGAGCGUUGUCCGGAAUCACUGGGCGUAAAGCGCACGUAGGCGGCUUAGCAAGUCGGAAGUGAAAUCCCACGGCUCAACCAUGGAAGUGCUUUCGAAACUGCUGAGCUUGAGUACGAAAGAGGAUCGCGGAAUUCCCGGUGUAGAGGUGAAAUUCGUAGAUAUCGGGAGGAACACCAGUGGCGAAGGCGGCGAUCUGGGUCGAUACUGACGCUGAGGUGCGAAAGCGUGGGGAGCAAACAGG